CCCCCGCCCCCCGCCGGCGUCCGCGAGCGGCCGCGCGAGAGCUCGAGGCGGAGACAGCGGCGCGGGGCUGGACGAGACCCUCCCCCGAGACGCCCACCUCCCUACCUGCGGGGCGCGGCGGUGGGACGCGGCGGCGGGACACGGCGGCGGGGCGCGGAGACGGCGGCGGGGCCCGGCGCUCGCUCGCAGUUAUGAUCUGCCACCGGCAAAGGCGCCUCGGCUGGGCGGCGUCCGCGACAGCGCCCUCUGGCGGCGGGAGGCCGUGCGGACGCCCCAGGGCGCGCCGCCAUUGGUUGCUGGGCGAGCGUCCGGCCGGGGGCGGCGGCGCCACGUUGGGCCGCGGAGUGGCGGAAGUGGUGACGGCGCCUGGCGACGGGGUGAGCGAGCGGUAGAACGCUUGCACUGGAGACGCCUAGAGCAGCUUUGUGGAUCCCGGGCACCAACGCGCCAGGUGGCACGUACGGACCUCGAACCUCCGCGAGGCCGGGUGUCCCGCGGCGCCGCAUCCCGACGUGGGCAAGUUGACCAGACUGGACUUGAACUGUGUGUUGGGCUAUAGACUAGCACCCUCACGCCAGACCUCGAAGCUAGAAGAAAUCUAAGAUCAGAAUGCUACAGGGUGGCCUCUUUCCUCUUUAGCAUUUUUUCUGAAUCUUUUGUGUCUCUUCCUUUCAUAAUAACAAUCGUAUUAGUUUAGGGCUCCACCCCUUGUGCCUUCAUUGUGCCCUAAAGAAGCAGGACUUUUUUUAAAAAAAAAAAUGAACAAGUUUCCCAGAACCUAACCAUUCCCUUCAGACUUCCGGUUACCUAUGACUGUUGUUACAAAUACAAUUAGUAACUUGUUCCUAUUAGUAAAGAUUCAUAAUCUGUUCUUGUAACAUCCUGCUUUUCCCAGAACAAGGCCAUCUAGAAAUACUAAGUUGCAAAACUGUCUGCUUCUGUAAAUUUGCUUGUCCACCUACAAGUUCCACCCCCUUGGCACAUGUAUAAAACUAGAACCCUUUCUUUGUUCAGCACCCAGCCUUUGGGACAUGAAUCCCCUGGGCCAGUGUUUAUCUAAACCAAAAUAAAUCCUCUUGAACCUCCUG
rnacentral:lncRNA from 1 species